GCGAGCCGUAGGGCACCUAACCCUUAAAAGCGAGAGCUUUUAAAUGAUUCGCCUCGGCGAAUUAAAGGGAGGAAACUCCGCCCAUCGUGCAGAAACCCGGAAAGAUGCCUGAGAAGGCAGGCUCUGACGCAGAAAAGACAUUUCCCAAAGCCAAUCCAGGUUGAUGAUGACGAGAGUCUGAAAGGGCUUUUUGGGAAAGUGAAACUGUCACCCUCGGGGAUGCAAGCCCAAACAGGCUGCCGAUGACCCUUCUGCAAGAGGCAGGUGGUAGGGCGCUCAGAUGAAUGGUGCCGCAAAAGGAUCGCAGGCCAAGGUGCUUUGCGACUUUUGAACAGAAGGCGGGUUACUCACGGCACGC
rnacentral:RNase_P_RNA from 1 species